rnacentral:rRNA from 1 species
UACGUAGCAGCGAGCGUUGUUCGGAAUUACUGGGCGUAAAGAGUGUGUAGGCGGUGCUCCCAGUCUGUUGUGAAAUCUCCCGGCUUAACUGGGAGGGUGCAGCGGAAACUAGAGUGCUAGAGGGUGGGAGAGGUAAGCGGAAUUCCUGGUGUAGCGGUGAAAUGCGUAGAUAUCAGGAGGAACACCGGCGGUGUAGACGGCUUGCUAGACCAUAACUGACGCUGAGGCACGAAAAGCGUGGGUAGCAAACAGG